GGCUAUAUAGCAUUAAACAACGGUUCCCGUGCGAUCACCAAAGUUAAGCAACCCCGAGCCUGGUCAGUACCUAGAUAGGUGACGGCUUAGGAAUACCAUUUGCUGUAAG